rnacentral:rRNA from 1 species
AUUGAACGCUGGCGGCAGGCUUAACACAUGCAAGUCGAGCGGGGGGAGGUAGCUUGCUACCGGACCUAGCGGCGGACGGGUGAGUAAUGCUUAGGAAUCUGCCUGUUAGUGGGGGACAACAUCUCGAAAGGGAUGCUAAUACCGCAUACGUCCUACGGGAGAAAGCAGGGGAUCUUCGGACCUUGCGCUAAUAGAUGAGCCUAAGUCGGAUUAGCUAGUUGGUGGGGUAAAGGCCUACCAAGGCGACGAUCUGUAGCGGGUCUGAGAGGAUGAUCCGCCACACUGGGACUGAGACACGGCCCGGACUCCUACGGGAGGCAGCAGUGGGGAAUAUUGGACAAUGGGGGGAACCCUGAUCCAGCCAUGCCGCGUGUGUGAAGAAGGCCUUAUGGUUGUAAAGCACUUUAAGCGAGGAGGAGGCUACUUUAGUUAAUACCUAGAGAUAGUGGACGUUACUCGCAGAAUAAGCACCGGCUAACUCUGUGCCAGCCGCCGCAGUAA